rnacentral:lncRNA from 1 species
GAAAUAACUUUGCAGACGUCAAACCCAUGUCAAAAUAUCAAGGGCAAUUUCAAUUCUGAAAACAAUUUUUGUUGCCCAUAAAAAGCACAGCUGGGCCGGGCGCGGUGGCUCACGCCUGUAAUCCCAGCGCUUUGGGAGGCGGAGGCGGGCGGAUCACGAGGUCAGGAGAUCGAGACCAUCCUGGCUAACAUGGUGAAGCCCCAUCUCUACUGAAAAUACAAAAAAUUAGCCGGGUGUGGUGGCGGGCGCCUGUAG